AAUGACAUGGUCUAAAAGAAAAGGUUUAAAAUCUUUGAAUGUUUCAGUCCUAUAAAAAGCAUUUCUAUCAGGCAAUAUUCACUUUAAGAAAAUCUAUGGCUUUUAAUUCUUAAAAAAAUACAUUUUUUUCUCUAACAGAGUCACAGAAUCGCAAGGUUGGAAAUGACCUACAACGCAUACAUACAGCCCCUUUUCAGCUUUUUCGGAGUGAUGCCAUGUUAAUCUAGUGAAGUGAAGUCCUGAUCCUUACCGACAGAGAGAAUGCUGGAAUUCAUUCUCCUUCAAAAACAAAGAAAGAACAACAAGGGAAUGGGAAGGAUUUUCAUUCAUGACUGACUGAGAGACUGGGAAAGCUGCAAUUAUCUGCAGUGACUGCACUAGAAGGACACCUGAGAGUGAGUUCU